rnacentral:misc_RNA from 1 species
GAUGAAGAACGUAGCGAAAUGCGAUAAGUAAUGUGAAUUGCAGAAUUCAGUGAAUCAUCGAAUCUUUGAACGCACAUUGCGCCCGCCAGUAUUCUGGCGGGCAUGCCUGUCCGAGCGUCAUUUCAACCCUCGAACCCCUCCGGGGGGUCGGCGUUGGGGAUCGGCCCUUUAUGGGGCCGGCCCCGAAAUACAGUGGCGGUCUCGCCGCAGCCUCUCCUGCGCAGUAGUUUGCACACUCGCAUCGGGAGCGCGGCGCGUCCACAGCCGUUAAACACCCCAAACUUCUGAAAUGUUGACCUCGGAUCAGGUAGGAAUACCCGCUGAACUUAAGCAUAUCAAUAAGCGGAGGA